GUGCUCACUUUGGUGGUACAUAUACUAAAAUUGGAAUGAUACAGAGUAGAUUAGCAUGGCCCUGUGCAAGGAUUAUAUAUAUGUAUAUAUAUAAUAUCUAUGUACGU